AAAAAAACCAAAAAAUGAAUUUUUGCUGAUCCUACCUGUCCACUGUAGGUUGAGUGGGUUUGACUCUAUCCAUCAUGGCCACCCACAGAAUCUGGGGGAUAGAGCAGCUGUUGUACCAGGGGAGAGGAAAACCCUGGUGGUUUUGCACCAGCCACUAAAGAUGAUGCAGAGGAAGUGACAGGCAUCACUUCUGCCCUGAUGAGACACUGUGCAGAACAAGUCUUGAGGUCCCACUGAGCCACGUGGAGCCUGGAAGAAGGAGAUGUGAAAACAUUUGGCACAGCGCCUGGCAACCCAGGCCUGGGCAGCCUGGUGGCCUUGGUGGGUGCAACUGUCCCAAGAGACAGAGCCAGCAGCUAAGUGAUGAGCUGGUGGUGUCCAUGGAGCCUGGCUGUCCCUGGGCUGGGAUUUGACUCCGCGUCUGUCUGGCUCAGCACCCAGGAAGCUACGCCAUGGAGGGUUGCCACGAGGUUUAAAGGAGAUUAGGAAAGGCUCCAUGGAGUAGCUUCUGACUUGAGGGGUACUCAGCCAGCGGCAUCCCUGAGAGUGGGCAUUUCCUGGGGGCCAGGCCCUUUGCCAACCAGUGUGCACCAGCCAGACCAAAGCAGGCACCAGCGGCUGCAACCAUCUUAUGGAUGAAGCAGGACGGAGUCCAGAGAAGCUGGACUGAGGUAUCUCACCCUGACCUAUUGGAACAGCAUCACCUAAUUCAACAGUCAUCCCUGAAAGGUGCCUAGUUUGAGGCCCUCCCUGGGCUGAGUGUGUAUUAGGCAGGAUAUGUAACGCUAUGCUGCAGUAACAAGUAACCUGAGGUCUUUCUUACCACAUGUGGCCCUUUUCUUUUCAUUUUCUGUCUUGGAGGCUGUCAAUCAAGCUCUGCCUUACCCCCCUCCCCCUUCCUUCUGCCAAAUCCUUGGCUACCCUCAGCUCCAUUUCCCUCCAGAGGGAAUCACAUCAUUACAAGAGUCCCCCCCACACACAAAGACAAGACCAGCAGGCCCAUGAAAGUCACUUGGUCCAGCCUCACACUGGAAAUCGAUGCACUGAGAUGGCCCAUCCCGCCUCUGUGGGCCCCGGGCCCCUGGGGGCCUCUCACCAGGCUCAUCCUCUCCCAUGGGUGGGCAGCGAGGCUCUAGGAAGCAUCCCUGAUCUCUUGCCCUCCGUGCCCUUGUGCUGCUCUCUGCUGCUACCAGAGAGCUGUCAGUCAUCUGGCAGAGGAGAGGUGCUGGGAGAGGAAGCCAGGAUCUCACUGCCACACCCACCCUCUGACGCCUUGGGGGGGCCUCUGGCCUGGGUCCUGGGAAAUCCAUGUCUUUUACUGCUUCACCGAGACUAGAGCCAUGGCGGAGCCCCGGUAGGUGUGGAAGACAUUCCUGGUUCUGGCUCAGCUCCUGGUGGGAGGCCCGGGCCUCUCGCAGAGCUGGCCCUCUCGCUGUUCAUUGGCAGGAGGCUGACGCAGAGCCACUGUCUCCAGGGUGACCUGUCCAGUGUCUGUGGCUCAGGAAGCAGCAAGGGCAGAGGGUUCUCAGAGACUCUGGAGUCCUGGAAAAUCAAAAACCAAAAAUAAACAAAGUCCCCAUUGCCCUGAAAUGAA